rnacentral:rRNA from 1 species
UUCUUAAAGGGCCGCGGUACUUUGACCGUGCGAAGGUAGCAUAAUCAUUAGUCUCUUAAUUGGAGGCUGGAAUGAAUGGUUGGACAAAAAAUAAGCUGUCUCAGUUAUAACAAUUGAACUUAACUUUUAAGUGAAAAGGCUUAAAUAAUUUAAGGGGACGAUAAGACCCUAUAAAGCUUUACGGUUUGUUUAUUAAAUCGAAAAUUGUAAGUUUAAAUUCAAUUUAAUAAAUAACCGUUUCGUUGGGGCGACGAGAAUAAAAUUAGUAACUGUUCUUUUUCAAUAUUACAAAUAUAAUUGCAAAAAAAUUGAUCCCUUAUUAAGGAUUAAAAAUUUAAGUUACUUUAGGGAUAACAGCGUAAUCUUUUUUGAGAGUCCUUAUCGACAAAAAGGGUUGCGACC